GUGCCACUGGGAACAAUAUUUUAACAAUGGGACAGCAUAUAACGAAGGAGGAAAGUGUAGUUCUAUCUACGUAGAAAUCCCUCCUUAACCGAAAGAAUGUGAAGGUUGCUGAUUUUAAUUU